AAAUUUACAACUCCUAUAGCAGAGAAAAAAUUUCAAUGAAAGUUAGAACAAGGAAAUAGAUGAUUUCCAACAAGAGUUUUAAACUUUACAUAUAGCAUACCUCAUCAGCAUCAAAGCUUCAUUGCAACAACUGACAGUGAAGUGUUGCCAUUUCUCCUUCAAGUUUCUCCUUCUGAUGUGCCGCAUCUUUCAGCAUCUUACGAACCUUUAAUAUCUCUGAAUUUCCAGCUGCCUACCGCAUCAAAAGAAUUUCUCUAUGUAACAUCCGCAAGAUUUCAAAGAUAGGUUCAAUGAUAUGAUAUCAGAAUUAUUAAACUGGUGAUAAAAUGCACCUCUAACCUCUUCAAUAGAGUCAGUUGACUCUAAAGAUUACUGGCUUCCUCUUCAGCAGCCUUCCUAAGACUUGUCUCUCCCUGGAGCAACUUUCUUAAGUUAUCAAUUUCCUCAACAUGCUACCUGCAAAUCUAUGUAUAAUAAACUUGUUAGGAAUACUCCUCAACACGACAUAUAAGCAUCAAGAUUAGACAAAGCGAAAGAAGAGAGAAUAAAGGAAAGAGGGAUAGAAGAGAGGAAAGGAGAAGAUCUUGGCGAGAAUAGACCGGUUGCAAGGGGUUUGUUUGUGUUGGAGUCUGAUAUCUUGGUGAUCGAUUGGAUUGAUUUGAGAGCUCGAUCAAUUAAGGGAAAUGAGAGAUCUGGGUAGGGAAGACUAUAGAGAUUGUAGCAGGUUAUGCCGGGUGCAACGUAUGUAUCUGAAAUUUUCUGUUUCUUGGUUUCUGCAUUUUGGUGAUGUCAACAGAGUGUGGAAAAAAGAGCAAAUUUUUAGGAGGCGAUAAUAGAGACAGUCAAAAGAGAGGACAAAGAAUGCUUAAUGAUCAGAAUCUGACUAUUCCUAACAUGACCAUGGAUUGUAGAAGAAAAUCAAAAAGGUGGAGAGAAGCAUCUGAGACAUUGAUCAUCAAAGACAAUCAUAUUUUUGACAGCAAUGAUCAAAAUGGUUUCAAUGAGAGUUUCAAAUAGGAUUGCGCCUUGCAAAAGCCUCGGAGCUUUCCUGAUCGCUGCUGACCUUCAGUCAGGUUGUUUAAAGUCAAUGGAAAAAACAUGACUGAAGAUACGUUGGGCGAUUAUAUAGGGUAGAACUCAAUUCCAUUUCUAAAUGUCAAAGUUGGUUGACAUUGGGAGUUAUAUAGGAUUGCAAACGAAAUAGUGUAAAUAUAUAUAGGAUUGCCCUAUAUGAUUGAUAUUGGGAAAUUAUAUAGGAUUGCAAAUGAAUCCUACCCAAAAAGAAUUCAGCUUCCGAAUCGCAACUGGCAACUGGCCUAAUACUUAGACAGCAGAAAAGGCAGAGGAAAAGAGGCGCUCCCCUCAAAUAUAGAGGUUGGACCGAUUGGUUGGGCUGAUUGGGGAAAAAGGUGCAGUUGUAGUCGCUAAAAAGUCAGGCAAUUUUUUCAAUUUCGUCAUUCCCUUGCAGCCGGUCUGACGUUCCGCUCCACACACCGUUUCGCAUUUGAAAUUGGAUUGCUUGCUUGAAGUUGAGUAACUUGAGCUUCAGAUUCUAGGAACAGUUUGCAGCCACAUUCUUCAGUUGUCUUGCAUUCAGUUGUGGUUGUGGGUGCAGCUGCUGUUCUGUGUAUUGCCAGAUUAAAGAUGGAUAAUUUUUCGAUUAUACAUGGAUAUGAUGGAUGUUCGUUUCAAAAGCAUUACAUUAACCAGGAUUCGGGGGAUAGCUUUGUCUUAUCAAGCGCUCACAAGUAUAGAUUACAGUGCUAUUAUAUUGAACCACGUAUUGUGCUGCUUGGCAUAUAAAUUAUGGAUUCUGUUUGUUCUUAUUGUAUUUCCUGUGCUGGAGUUUAAAUAUCUAGCUAAUGAUAGGUCAAUUCACAGAUUGGUAUUGAUCAUUCUGGAACAUAAAACAUUCCUCAAAGCCUUGAGACAUCUCAGGAGACUUUUGCUGUCCCCAAGAGCCUUCAGAAGUUGUAUCAGGCUUUUGCUGCCCCCAUCUGCCUUCAGAAAUAUCAAGAGAAUUUUGCCGGCCCCAAGUGCCCGGAGAAGAAGCAUUAGCAGGCUUUUUCUCCCCCCAAGCACCUUUAGACAACUUGGCCUGUCCCCAAGUUCCCUCAGAAAAACCAUCAGCAGGCUUUUGCUGCCCCCAAGUACCUUCUGAAGUAGUAUCCGCAUUUUGCUGCCCCCAAGCACCUUUAGAAAUCUCAGGAGACUUUUGCCAUCCCCAACUGCCCUGAGAAGUAUUGGCAGGGUUUUCCUCCCCCCGAGCACCUUUAGAAAUCUCAGGGGACUUUUGUUGUCCCCAAGUUCCCUGAGAAGAAGCAUCAAGCGCCUUCUGAAGUAGUAUCGACAUUCAUUUUGCUGACCCCAAGAAUGACGGGCAGUAGACUUAUCUUCAGUUUAAAUAUCUAAACUGUUAUGUAAAGCAUAUUCAAACUGUAUUUCUGCAAUCUUCGAUCUUCAGCCGAACUGUUGGCUUCAAAGUUGGCUGAGAAGGGAAAUCCAAGCUCUUACGCAGAAAUGUGUAAGCCAUGCAUUACCAAUAUGAUGGAGUUCAAUUCUAUUAAAGUACCUGAAUGACGUCAACAGAGAUUUGGCUAAGCUUUUGCAACAAAGUGGAUUACAGCUCACUGUAUGCUACAUACCUGCAGUAGACAUUCCAGAAUGAAUCAAAGCUGAUGAAAGUCUCUUCUACACUAAAUUAACAAGCACAAAUUCCAAAAGCAAAAGCGAAAAACUUAUUCAGCUGAUUUCAUUGUGAUAAUUCUAAGUCACCUAUGAUGACCUGGAAAUUGAACUAAGAGGCUGGCAGAAGCAGAAAUUCCAGAAAAAAUUCAACUAGUUUACAAGUUCAAGCAAAGUUCAAUUACCAGUCCUGUUUAUCUGCCCUCAAAAUUGUAUUGUCUCCAAGAACUAUAUUCAGUUGGCAGUCCUGUUCAUUAUACGGGCAUUUGCUCUUUCACUUUUAGUUUCAGUUUCAGUUUCAUGUCAACUAUAUUCAGUUUCAGUUGGUAGUCCUGUUCAUUACACACAA